rnacentral:lncRNA from 1 species
ACUAGUUCUUUUACAAAAUAUUAUUUCAGUAUUAUUUUAUUUCUGUGUUGCUGGGGAUUGAACCCAGAAUCCUGAGCAUGCUAGCCAUGUUUAGUACUCCAAGCUACAUCAGAGCUACAACCCUUUUCAAAAUUAGUUUUGUUUUGCCUUCAGAUAACCAUGUUGACAAACUUACUUGAACACUUCAGGAAUUAACAGUAAUUUACUCAGCAAGAAGUGAGCAUUUUGAAAGAAAAAUGUUUGUAAUUCAUACCCAUGCAUUGACAUCCUGUAUUAACUCCGUGGCGAAGUAGAACUGUGAUUUACCAAGCAUCCCAUGUCCUAAAUCCUUAAAUUUGAUAUUUGUGGAUUAAAUGGUAUAGUCAGAUUAUAUACAGGUAUUUCAGGAUAUUCUGAUAAUGAAGUGUAAAGAACUGACUCCAGCUUACAAUGUGCAAAGGUAGGGAGCACUCCACAAAUUCUAUGAAGAUUAUACCAAACUUAUUUGUACUUAGGACAAGGUGUUAAUCGUUAAUCAGAAGUGUUUAAAGUUAUCUUCGUGAUUGAAUUUUUCUAUUAGUUUUGAAAUUUUUAGUAUUUAAUUUUAAUGAUUCUGAGAACUCUAGCAACGUUGUGGCAAACCACAUUUAUGUCACAAGUUCUUAGUAAAGGAAAUGUGAAUAUUUUAAAGUAUGUUAUUCUGCUAAAAUCACUCUUAAAGUUGUCCCAGUAACACUAACAGUUUGCAAUUCAUUAGCAAAAAUAUCAUUUCUGGCUACAGUAUCUUUUCUUUAAAGUUCUAAAAUGUAAAAUCUCUAUAUUGUAAGGGAAGAUAAAAUUUGUAGUUUUCAUCAUAAAACUCAGUAGGGAAGUCUUCUAAAAUACAGCCAACACCAAUUUUCUAAACACUAUUUAAAAAUGUGUUUGAAAACCUUUUGCUCAGCCUACUUGCAAGAAGUAUUAUCUUGGUUUCAUUUGUAGAGAGGAUAAGAGCUUUCACUUAUAAAGUGAGUUCUAUGGUCCUAAUUUCUAAGAAAUAUGCCAUUUCUAAUAAGUGGUGAUGAGUUAUUACCUGGGUGAAUUUUUAGCAUUACAAUAUAACAAUAUUGCAUUCUGGUUACAAUACCAAAGCACUGAGGUAAAACUAAUCAUUUAAAUACAUAAAACCUACUUGUAUUUAAUACAUUCACUGUUGUGUAGCCGACUCUAAGGCAUUUUCAUCACUUCACAAGGGAAGCCUAAAGUAUAUCCUCAUUCUCUACCAGUAGACACAUCAUCUGCCAGUUCUGAUAUCUGUCCGAUUUGACUGGUGUUUUUCAAGCUUAUCUGUGUAACAGUAUGUACCAAUACUUCAUCUCUUUUACACAUUUCCUACUGCAUGGAUAAUACAUCUUGCUUAUGUGAGCAUUUGGAUUGGUUAGUUUCCUGUUGUGACUAGUAUGUGGAGAUCUAUGCUCAAGUUUUUGAUGGAACAUCCUCUUUUUAAUUUGUUAGUACUAGGGAAUCAAACCCUGGGCUGGUGUAUGGACUGCUCUGAGCUGCACACCCAGUCCAAACAUCUGUUUUCAGUUCUUCUAGAGAAUAUAACUUAGUGAAGUGCUGUAGCUUUCUGCAGCAAUGCCAUCCUUUCCCACAGUGGCUACACUACCCUAAACCUCCCUCACUGCCAUAUACAGGUUCAGGUUCCCUCCAUCCUCACAAAUUAUAUCCAUUUUUUAAACAGCCAUCCUGUUCACACUUCAGUGACACGCUUUGAACUUUGGAAUUGCAGUUGUUGCAGUCACAAGCAAGCUUAUCUUAAACAGCUUAGCAAACCUCUUCCCAGAGCCACUUUCAGCAGCUGCUGCUUAGUUUUAUGAUUUCUGCGUCAAGUAGGAAAGGUUUUAUUGCUUCCUUUAAAGAAAACUGAAUAUCAAAGUUAAAAAUACAACCGUGACUAUAAAGAAUUUUGGUAAAGGCCUAAGACCUGCACAGCAAAAGGCCAUAUUUCACCCUUCAGCAACUGCAGAGAACUUACUUUUAAAUUGGUCCACUUUAAAAUCUAAAAGGUACAGAUUAGCAGAUGGCAAGAAUGUCUAAGUUUUGAGAAAACUAGAUGGAUAUAAUUGAGUAUAAUUUAUAAUAUAAAUUAUGUAUAAUCAUUGAAAGUUCAAGCUAUUCUAGAUUUUUUAAAAAAAAUCUCUAAAUUCAAGUUAAUGUAAACUUUAAGCCAAUAAACUUAAGCUGGCAUUUACCCUGUUAAAUAAGAGGUAGGGAAAAUAUUACUUGACCACUUAAGGUAGUGUCUUAAUAAUACAGAUGCUAAAAUUUAAUUUACAUAGAAGCUAAUUUUAAACAUUAAGCUCAUCAGUUGAACUGGUUGAUACCAUCCACUAUAGAACUAUUAAUAAGUUUUAAUUAAAACAUUAAACCUGAGCCUGAAAAGACCACUUGUUCUUCCAAAGGACCCGGAGUUCAUUUCCCAAGACCCACAUGAUGGCUCACAACCUUUUGUAACUCCAGGGCCAGGGAGCCCACAGCCUUAACUGGCAUCUCUGGACUCCAGGCAUGCAGGCAAAACACACCCAUACCUGUAAACUUAAAAAUCACCAAGAAGAAAAUAAACAAAAACUAGAUAAAACAACCGUUGAAGCAGUCGGUUCAACUUUUCAGCUUCCAAUCUGAUUAUUCUGAUGGGAAUCUCUUGUUGAUUUGUCAAAACCCAAGCUCUGCAAUGUUUUGUGGGUUUUUCCUGAGGGUUUCUCUAUGUAGACAAGGCUAGCCUCGAACUGGAGAUUUGCCUCCUAAGUGUGAGGAUUAAGGGUGUGUACUACCACCACUUGGCUCUGUAAUACUUAUUUUUUUAAAUUGUUCAUUUUUAAACUCAUUGGAAGUUGGGUAUGAUGGUGCAUGCCUUUGGUCUCGAAGGCAGAGAGGCAGGUAGAUCUCUGAGUUCAAGACCAGCCUGGUCAGAAUUACAGGAUGACCAGGCCUGUUACCAUGUUUUGAAAAACAAAAACAAUUUCUUUCGGACACUAAAAAACUAUCUCCAUCAUAUAUCCAUUUUGUGGUGAAUUUAAGCCUAUUUCAUCUGGCAAUUCUCUCUCAUACCCUGGAGAGCUACCAUUGCACGUUUCCUUAGGAUACUGAAAUAGCUGUAGGUUGCAUUUUUGCUAGUUUGUAUGUGCAUCCUACAACUAUUGGGAUUGAUUCUGUAGGGAAUUUGACAGUUUAGUUGACUUUCUUAUAUUGAAAAGGCACUUUAAAGAGAAUUUAUCGCCGGGCGGUGGUGGCACAUGCCUUUAAUCCCAGCACUUGGGAGGCAGAGGCAAGCGGAUUUCUGAGUUCAAGGCCAGCCUGGUCUACAGAGUGAGUUCCAGGACAGCCAGGGCUACACAGAGAAACCCUGUCUCAAAAAACAAAGAAAAAAAAAAGAAUUUAUCAUACAUAAAGCAUUAUUGCUAACCAUACAUCCAGACAAAGUGACAUGGAAAACACUCUAUUUUGACAGCUGUUAAAGGUGGCACAUAGCAGGAAUCCUAGCACUUGGGAGGUGGAAACAGAUGAAUCCACUCAGUGUCAUCCGCAGCUGUUCAGUAAGUUGGAGGCCAGCCUGAAUUAUGAGACUGACAGUUAAAAUAAAACUGGGUUAAUGGUAGUAUUACAGAUUAUCUAAAACAAGUUACAUAACCCUUUCAUAUUUCCCACCAUCCUAGUCUUUCCCUAUUCUUAAACUGGUGGUGGUAACUUUAAGAGGUUUUGGUAUUUGAAUGUCAGAGAAAUCCUACUUAAAGAUAGUUACUCGGUUUGCUCGGGCAACCCCCUUACCUGUCUCCAUGAAAUGUCUAUUUUGGACUUUCAUAAAUAAGUACUUCAAAAACCAUGUAUUUUGUGACUGGCUUCUUUUCACUUAGACUGUUUAGGUAUUUCCAUGUUGUAGCAUCAGUACUGGGAUUUUUAAUGAUGAAUAUUCCAUUGUUAGGCUGUACUAAAUUUCAUCAAUCUACUUGUAGGUUAAUGGACAUUCAUACUGCUUCCACAAAUAAUUUUUCUGUCUUUGUGU